rnacentral:rRNA from 1 species
CGCGUAGGCGGUCUUCUAUGUCAGGUGUGAAAGCCCGGGGCUCAACCCCGGAAGUGCACUUGAAACUGGGAGACUUGAGUAUGGGAGAGGGAAGUGGAAUUCCUGGUGUAGCGGUGAAAUGCGUAGAUAUCAGGAGGAACACCGGUGGCGAAGGCGACUUCCUGGACCAAUACUGACGCUGAGGCGCGAAGGCGUGGGGAGCAAACA